AGUGAACGCUGGCGGUAGGCCUAACACAUGCAAGUCGAACGGCAGCACAGUAAGAGCUUGCUCUUACGGGUGGCGAGUGGCGGACGGGUGAGGAAUACAUCGGAAUCUACUUUUUCGUGGGGGAUAACGUAGGGAAACUUACGCUAAUACCGCAUACGACCUACGGGUGAAAGCAGGGGAUCUUCGGACCUUGCGCGAUUGAAUGAGCCGAUGUCGGAUUAGCUAGUUGGCGGGGUAAAGGCCCACCAAGGCGACGAUCCGUAGCUGGUCUGAGAGGAUGAUCAGCCACACUGGAACUGAGACACGGUCAAGACUCCUACGGGAGGCAGCAGUGGGGAAUAUUGGACAAUGGGCGCAAGCCUGAUCCAGCCAUACCACGUGGGUGAAGAAGGCCUUCGGGUUGUAAAGCCCUUUUGUUGGGAAAGAAAAGCAGCAGGUUAAUACCCCGCUGUUCUGACGGUACCCAAAGAAUAAGCACCGGCUAACUUCGUG
rnacentral:rRNA from 1 species